GGUUUAGUUAGCCUUUGUCAGGCGACCGAAAACACCUGCUGUGACAUCACUGAUUGGAUUGCGACCUAAAGUGCAGCAAGCAGUUUUCUGCCACGCGUGAUGCACGGUGGAUUCAGACGGACAGCAUUGCUGUGAACACUAAAUGAGCUGAAAGUAAUUCUAAUGGAAAGCCAGAUUAUUAGUAAUUAUUGAUGCUAACAAACGGUCAGACCUCACCUCCUGAGAUUUAUGAAUACAGUCAUCCAUUGUGGAGCCAGCAAGUCCAGAGCAUUUCAUCCUCACAUCAGAUACAGACCAAAUUAUUUUUGUUUACAGAUGACUGCGAGGGAAAGCAGCCCUGUUGUAUCUCGUUUAUGCAUCACGACACUGAAGCGCUGCCAUUGGUUUAUCUCACCGGAGAUCAAGGUGACUUUGAAGUGUAUUAUUCCAAUCACAUUCCCUCCUUGUUCCCACCGUUCAAGCAGCUCGUCAACUGCACUGUUGCACUGUAGAUACACGAUGCAACUUUUCAGUGUAUUUAAUUUGUGGGAGUGAGCUUUAUUUAUCGAUAUUCCUUUCUGUGGGCAGUAUAGCACUAUGUAUUUGUGUGUUGUUUUUCUUUUCCUGUGUCAAAGUGUCCACCUUAACUAUAUUGUAAACAUGCAGAUGAUAUGAACUUGACGUUUUAGGAUUUAUUGUUUGUUUUGUAAAUGAUGGCUUUUUUGCACACCUACCUCUCCAGCUCCCCUGUCAAUUCAUGUUGUGGUGAUUUUUAUGUUUUAUGAUGAUGUGGACAUAUCGAAUGAAGGAAUAUUAACGCCGGACACAUCAUAUGAACUUAAAUGCAACAUUUUAAUGAGAUUUUUUUCUUAAAUGUUUGCAGUGGGAAACAUUAGUGUCGUUUUCUUUUUUUUCUUUCUUUUUUUUCUUUUUGGAGGGGGUGGGGGGGGGGAGGCAUUUCUGCCUAUUGCCUAUUGCUAUUGUUUAAGUGUGGGUCAGCCUGUUUCAUCAGCUAGGACCAAAUGAAGCAUCGGUGAUAGAGGGAAGUGUCUUUUGUUUUAAGUUAACGACUCGCAGAAAUGCUUAAAGAGUUCUAAAAAUUAAAUGUGAAAGCCGACAGAGACCUGCUGGCAUCGGACGGUAAAGAAAAUCUGUCUGUUUUGAAUGGUGCUUCUUUCAUGAGGUGGCUGCAAUAUGACAGUGGCUGCACUAACGACCAAGGCCACACUGACUGAAUCACUUCGAGCUAAUCUCAGCGUUAUCAAUGUCUUAACUGAAAGCCAUAGGUCAGUGAGGGACAUCAUCUGGCACCUCCAGCCAUGUCGGCAGAUAAUAAGAUGGCCCGUCUGCUCACGUGAGCUUGGCUUCAUAAAGUACCGCUGUAAUUUUUCUUUUUGUUUUUCUUUUCCACAUUCCAAGUUCAUUUCGUAUUUGCUGUUAUUGUCAUCACAAUGCCUACGUUUGUCUCGUCCAGAUUUCCUUUAAAAGCCCACCCCUCCCUCGUUGCUCUCGGAUCGUUCUCAUCUGUUUUUUUGCCCGAACUUUGAACACACUGCGCAAGUCAAUUUUCUUUAAACCCUGCUGUGAAUUUAAACUGACCUUGUGCAUUAGGUUUUUUGUGUGUAUGUGCGUGCGUGUCUGAAGGUGUAGUGGUGUAGUUGAUGUGUAGUUGUUAGUGUGACACCGCGGUAUUUUUCUCUUGAUUCUCUUGAUUGUCGGUCCAGUGCCCUCCCCCCUCCCGUUCUUUCUAUCUGUUGCCCUCCUCUGCCAUCCAAUCUGUCCAGCAUCUGUCGCCAGGGUGCGGGCUAACACAGAGGAGCUUUUAAAACACCAAAUGUACGACCCGGAGUGUAUACAAUCAAAGAAAGCACAAAGGAUCAUUAGGCACAAGAGACCCGCUUUGGAUACUCGAAAUCUUGGAAAUCCAUCUGCUGCUUUUGCAGACGUGAUUUAAAAGUCUUGAUUUAUUUCUUUGCAGAAGUCUUGAAUGAAAUGAACAUGCUAGCUUAUGUAUGUCUGUAAAACUGGAUCCAUAGGGCUGAGACAACAGGUCGUUAUAAGAGACCCAACGUGAUGGUGUUCACUACGUCAGCCGUCACCAGUUAUCCACAAAUGUAUAUCUCGUACAUAUUCUAAACGAAUCUAAUAUAAGAAUGUAAUGUAGGUGAGAUGUAUUAUGAAUAUAGUGAAGAGUUUAUUACGUUUUAAUCUAAAGAUUUGUGCUUUACACAUUCACCGAGAAAUUUCACGAACCAGCUCACUGAUAUGCAAUAAGUAAAGCCACACACACACACAGACACUCAGUAGGAAAAAAGUAAACGCUGAACACCAUCUGUCAGUCACAGGAAACACAGUGUAUGAAUAAUGCAGCUGGGGGGACCUUGGAGGCCUUUUGGGGGGUCUGAGCUCAUUUCACGGCCUCUGUUCUCUUCCUCCAAGAGGAAUUGUGCAUUAUAGCACUUUAGAAAUCGAGGACCCCCCACCCCCGCUGUCCACCUACAAAGUCUCUCUAUGACAUAGAGGGUGUUUAUGAAUAUGUGGUGAAUGACACGGUUGUCUUAGACAUGGUUUACAAUGCAAUGGAAAAUAAAUAAAUUGUGUUCCCUGUCACAAUUCGCUGUUAAAUAAACUCACUGUCCUGAAAUCUCCUGUUGUGGUUGUCUGUGUGCUGAGUGUCACACUUUUUCCAACUCUCAUUAUUGUGGUCCGGCGGUCGUCCGAGAGAACACAGAAGAACUGACACAGCGUUUUUUUUUGUUUUUUUUCACGUGUAAUAGUGCUGUGAAGACUAAACAGUAGGGCUAUGUUUUGAAGACUACAAGGAUGACAUUGUGGCUCCUCGGGGCACGGGUGCAGCUGUGACUGCUGUUAUGGUUUUUGCCCGAUGAAGCCACCAGGUGUCAGUGUGGGGUCGCAGUAGAGCUGUGGUCCUCUAGUGGGAGUGGGAAGAGAGCAGAACAGCGCCUUAUACUACAGGUGUAUGCUAAGCUGGGGUGGUGUGGUAGAAGAUCACGCGCUCCCAUCUCACUCACUGUUUCAGCUUUCUUUUGUUAGUCUCUUACAGCUGUGGCAGACCUUAUAGGCAGCUGAGCCUCUUUUACCUGAGCUCUUUGUGGUUGCACUCGCUGAAUAAGGUCUAUGUGUUUAGAACUUGCAUGAUAGGAAUAAGUGCAUUUUCUUG
ensembl:lncRNA